GGCCAUACCACCCUGAACGCGCCCGAUCUCGUCUGAUCUCGGAAGCUAAGCAGGGUCGGGCCUGGUUAGUACUUAGUACUUGGAUGGGAGAAGUUAGUGUC
ensembl:rRNA 5S_rRNA 5S ribosomal RNA